CAUAUGAAUAAUCAGCACAUUUUUUAGUUUUUGUUAAGAGGAACUAUAGACAGUGGGUAGAAUGUAAGCUUUUCUUACUGUCUGUGAUAGGAUAUGCUUGACAUCAGUCUUUUAGAAUACAUCAUGCUAGGCUAUUUAUGCAUAAAACAUUGCUAGUUGGGCAUAGGUUUAGAUAGCGCUAGCUAGUAACAUAAUACGGUUUAGGUAAACACAUGUAGGCAAUAACGUUAAAAGCUCAAAGCAGGAUAGCGUAUAGCAUGGUAGAAGUGCUCAGUAGAAUUAGAAUGUAAAUAUGAUCUGGACACAUGCAGGAAGAAAAUUUCCUAAGCAAGGAGUGGGUGAGUGCCUAUAGUGACCCUGACCCCUAGGGGAAUCCAUGUGGAGACAGAACCCCCCAUGGAUGCCUGCCAGUUAUCCCAUUAGCCUAUGCCCUCUGGGUAUACAACACAUUCCAGCAAGUUAGCGCCUCGCCAGUGGUCCACGUGCCCAAACAGUGAGAGGAUGCCCGAGCCUGGUAAGUGUGAUGGUCUUCUCAGCAAGUGUGAUGUUGGCAUCCAGCAUGGGUAGGUCCCUGGCAUUCCAUGGUGAAUACGGGCAAAGCGUCGGUCCC